GGACUGCCUUGCACCACCUAGGGUUUCUCAAUCGAUUUUUAAUCGUGAGCAAGAGUGAGAGAAUCUAUAGCAAUGGCGAGGUACACGAAUCGUACCAGAAGCUACAGCCCUCGCCGGUGGAGCAGAAUCCCGCCACUCUGUCGCAAGCAAUACGAAGAUGAGCAUCGCGAUCACUAUCGCGAAGGCAGUUCCUACAGAGACCGUCCCUCCCCUGUUCCUUCUAGUUUGCUGGUCCGCAAUCUCCCCAUUGACUGAAAUAUCUCCUAUUAAAGAAUGAAAUUUUUGAGAUUUUGUACUACGAUGUGCAUGAUAGAAGAUCUUAGGAUUCCAUCUGAGUGAUAUGUUCCGGUGAAAGAUGUUUAUCUGCCAAAGAACUACUAUGCCGGUGUGGUGGUGUGUUGUGUUGUCAGGCCGACUGAUGGGAGGAGGUGAGGUGUGCCCUUGUCCCCAAACGAGACUGUCUGCAGCUGCAUUUCUCUCACGUUUUCACAAAAUGCAAGACAUAAUUAGCCAAACCCUCAAAACCCAACCCAUCUUCUCUUCACUACCACUGUUGUCCCCAUUGCUACUACUGCGGCUCCCACCGAUGAUGCCGUUGUCAUCGUUGUUGAUGUUGACAUUGUUACUGCCUCUUAUGGAGCACUAGAUUUUCUCCACCGAAUUUUCCUAUCGAUUUUCCCUUCAUCUUGAAGAUCCCUACAGAUGAGUUUUUGCUUAAUCUCCCCAAAUGUUGCCCACCAAUUGUUUUUUGCAAUGGGUGUGUGCAGGGAUCAUCAAAACUAGGUACAAUUGGGAAAAUCUCUAUUGAUUUUGCAGACUAUGCUGAGGCGACCAAGCUCUCGUCUGCCUCUCUUCCCCUUAAGAAUUCAAACUUGAAUGCGGUUUUGCAUGUUUUGAUUCAGAGGCUGUAGGCGGAUUCCAAUCAAAGAUAUAA